rnacentral:rRNA from 1 species
UAGGGAAUCUUCCACAAUGGGCGCAAGCCUGAUGGAGCAACACCGCGUGAGUGAAGAAGGGUUUCGGCUCGUAAAGCUCUGUUGUUAAAGAAGAACAUGCGAGAGAGUAACUGUUCUUGUAUUGACGGUAUCUAACCAGAAAGCCACGGCUAACUACGUGCUAG